GAAAAGAAACCAACAGGGAUUGCCCCAGUAACGGCGAGUGAAGCGGCAAGAGCUCAAAUUUGAAAUCUGGCCCCUCCGGGGUCCGAGUUGUAAUUUGCAGAGGAUGCUUCGGGCGCGGUCCCCGUCUAAGUACCCUGGAACGGGUCGUCAUAGAGGGUGAGAAUCCCGUCUGGGACGGGUGGCCGUGUCCGUGUGAAGCUCCUUCGACGAGUCGAGUUGUUUGGGAAUGCAGCUCUAAAUGGGUGGUAAAUUUCAUCUAAAGCUAAAUAUUGGCCGGAGACCGAUAGCGCACAAGUAGAGUGAUCGAAAGAUGAAAAGCACUUUGAAAAGAGAGUUAAACAGCACGUGAAAUUGUUGAAAGGGAAGCGCUUGCGACCAGACUCGCCCGCGGGGGUUCAGCCGGUACUCGUACCGGUGUACUCCCCCGGGGGCGGGCCAGCGUCGGUUUGGGCGGUCGGUCAAAGGCCUCCGGAAUGUGUCGCCCCCCGGGGCGUCUUAUAGCCGGAGGUGCAAUGCGGCCAGCCUGGACCGAGGAACGCGCUUCGGCUCGGACGCUGGCGUAAUGGUCGUAGCGC
rnacentral:rRNA from 2 species